GGAGUACAAUGGAAUUGGGUUUGGUAUCAAUAGGAUUGACCUGUUGGAUGUGAGAGUAAUCCAUGGAAACAUUGUGGAAAAUUGAUAUCGAUGGGAAGGUGAAUGGAGCAGUUGAGACAUGCUUUGGGUCUUUUCAUCAUU